rnacentral:rRNA from 1 species
UACGUAGGGUGCGAGCGUUGUCCGGAAUUAUUGGGCGUAAAGGGCUCGUAGGCGGUUUGUCGCGUCGGGAGUGAAAUCCACUGGCUUAACUGGUGGCUUGCUUUCGAUACGGGCAGACUGGAGGUAUGCAGGGGAGAACGGAAUUCCUGGUGUAGCGGUGAAAUGCGCAGAUAUCAGGAGGAACACCGGUGGCGAAGGCGGCAUCCUGGACCGAGAUUGACGCUGAUGCGCGAAAGCCAGGGGAGCAAACGGG